UUUCUCUCUUGUCUGUGCGCAUGUGCAGUGGGGACUCCCAAGGCUUCGCUUGGAGACUAAACACUGAGGCAGAGUGGACAUUACCCUGCACGCCAGGGAUUAGAAAAACAAAACCCCCAAACGUAAGCUGCGGCUAUCAACCUGCCCCAGUUCAAGCUAUCUGAGAAUCCUAACUGGGAAAUUAUGUGGAGCAGGCUGGCCUGUGGACAUCGUGUCUCUGGAGACUUCUCUUCAUGGCUAACAGGUGGAGGCCCAACCAAUACUGAGGAGCCAUUCCUGGAGGAAGCUACCCGGACUGGAAGCUGGGAGCCAGCCACUGAUCACUGUUCCUUUGUGCUUUCUGUUUCAAGUUCCUGCCUCGGGUUCCUGACGCGGCUUUGCUCCAGGAUGUACUAAAACCUGGAUGCCAAAUAAACCCCUUUCUCCCCAA